UACGGGGGGGGCAAGCGUUGUUCGGAAUUACUGGGCGUAAAGGGCUCGUAGGUGGCCAACUAAGUCGGACGUGAAAUCCCUCGGCUUAACCGGGGAACUGCGUCCGAUACUGGUUGGCUUGAGUUUGGGAGAGGGAUGCGGAAUUCCAGGUGUAGCGGUGAAAUGCGUAGAUAUCAGGAGGAACACCGGUGGCGAAGGCGGGUCUCUGGGCCGAUACUGACGCUGAGGAGCGAAAGCGUGGGGAGCAAACAGG
rnacentral:rRNA from 1 species